UCGAACGAGAAUCUACGGAUCGAGGAUUCGUCCAAGAGAAGUAGAGGACAGUGGCGGACGGGUGAGUAACGCGUGAGGAACCUGCCUUUCAGAGGGGGACAACAGUUGGAAACGACUGCUAAUACCGCAUGACACAUUGGAGUCGCAUGGCUCUGAUGUCAAAGAUUUAUCGCUGAAAGAUGGCCUCGCGUCUGAUUAGCUAGUUGGUGAGGUAACGGCCCACCAAGGCGACGAUCAGUAGCCGGACUGAGAGGUUGACCGGCCACAUUGGGACUGAGAUACGGCCCAGACUCCUACGGGAGGCAGCAGUGGGGAAUAUUGGGCAAUGGGCGCAAGCCUGACCCAGCAACGCCGCGUGAAGGAAGAAGGCUUUCGGGUUGUAAACUUCUUUUGUCAGGGACGAGUAGAAGACGGUACCUGACGAAUAAGCCACGGCUAACUACGUGCCAGCAGCCGCGGUAAUACGUAGGUGGCAAGCGUUGUCCGGAUUUACUGGGUGUAAAGGGCGUGUAGCCGGGAAGGCAAGUCAGAUGUGAAAUCCACGGGCUCAACUCGUGAACUGCAUUUUGAAACUGUUUUUCUUGA
rnacentral:rRNA from 1 species